UAAAUGUUAAAUGUGUCGCCAAGUGUAAAGUGGCGACAGUGUAAAAAUCCCCAGGGAAACCACGCCCAUUGCAGACUGCAAUGGCUUCAAAUCCCAAAUCGCGCGGCAAAGAUCGCAGGCCAGGCAUGGCCGGUUCUCUGGAAGUCCAAGACAUCGAACGGGCGAGCAGCUGUACGGGCUGCACUCCAGGGUGUAGCUCCCCCGGUCCAGUCCACAAAAGCAACGGCGACCAACGCAGUAACCCAGAACGAGGCAAGACGACAGAGGGGAAGAUUUUCAUCAGUAGCCUAUUCGACCAGCGCCACCUCUUCCACCAACACCAGGUUGGAGCUGUGGGCUGCGCUGCCUGUUGAGAGGAACAGUCCUCCAGGGGACGGCAGCCGCGGCACCAGGAAGCAGCAAGCAGGAGGGGGAGGGGGGGUUGAUCCCCAGACGGCCCCACACACAUUAGCGUUAAACCAACACUGUUGUCUUCUGGGUCUAUAGCAGCC
ensembl:lncRNA